rnacentral:rRNA from 1 species
GUUUGAUCCUGGCUCAGGAUGAACGCUGGCGGCGUGCCUAACACAUGCAAGUCGAGCGGCAGCGAGUUUUACACUGAAUUCUGGAAGCUUCUGGGUAAUAUAGAAGAUUUAUUCAAGAAUUUUGUGUAAAAUGUCGGCGAGCGGCGGACGGCUGAGUAACGCGUAGGAAUUUGCCCCAAAGUGAGGAAUAACUGCCCGAAAGGGUAGCUAAUGCCGCAUAUGGUCUUCGGAUUAAAGCCUUCGGGCGCUUUGGGAGAAGCCUGCGUUGGAUUAGGUAGUUGGUAGGGUAAUGGCCUACCAAGCCGACGAUCCAUAGCUGGUCUGAGAGGAUGAUCAGCCAGACUGGAACUGAGACACGGUCCAGACUCCUACGGGAGGCAGCAGUGAGGAAUCUUCCACAAUGGGCGAAAGCCUGAUGGAGCAACGCCGCGUGAAGGAUGAAGGCCUUCGGGUUGUAAACUUCUUUUAUGAGUGAAGAAUAUGACGGUAACUCAUGAAUAAGCACCGGCUAACUACGUGCCAGCAGCCGCGGUCAUACGUAGGGUGCAAGCAUUAUCCGGAGUGACUGGGCGUAAAGAGUUGCGUAGGCGGUUUAAUAAGUGAAUAGUGAAACCUGGUGGCUCAACCAUACAGACUAUUAUUCAAACUGUUAAACUCGAGAAUGGUAGAGGUAACUGGAAUUUCUAGUGUAGGAGUGAAAUCCGUAGAUAUUAGAAGGAACACCGAUAGCGUAGGCAGGUUACUGGGACAGUUCUGACACUAAGGCACGAAAGCGUAGGGAGCAAACGGGAUUAGAUACCCCGGUAGUCUACGCCGUAAACGAUGGAUACUAGCAGUUUUGGGUAUCGACCCCCGGAGUUGCGAAGCUAACGCGUUAAGUAUCCCACCU